CUCUGAUUUACUUGUGAGACCACCGACACUAAUAAUAAUUACCUACAAAAUAAUAGGUGCUCCUUCACUGGGAAGGGCAUUUCGGAUCUGAUCAAUUUAUUGGUUCCAUUCCCCCAUUCUACACUUCUCCUCAGAAAAAAUGCCUUGCAAUGCGUCAUAUUUAUCUGGACUACUAACUUACUUCCAUAUAACUUCGAAAACAGACAAUAAUCUAUUUCAUUGGAUGAGAUUGGGCUCACGGAUUUUUUAAUGGAUUGGACAAGAAAUAUAGAAAAAUAAUGAAAAAUAUAAACAGUUACAAUAGAAAUGAGCGCAAAACAAGAUAAACAGAAUACAACAAGGCCUAAAUGGUAAGACCACUUCUAUAUACUGUAA